AUACAUCUAUUUGACAGACCUGGUGCAAUUACUGUGUGCUGCUAAGGUUCUCACUGCAGAUGCAAGAAAAAAGUGUCUUUGUACUUUCUGUCUGUCUUAUUGUGGCAGCCAAGAUUGAAUAGACAAAAACAGAG
ensembl:snoRNA